AAUGAACGCUGGCGGCGCGCCUAAUACAUGCAAGUCGAGCGAGAAGACGUAGCAAUACGUUUGUAAAGCGGCGAACGGGUGAGGAAUACAUGGGUAACCUACCCUCGAGUGGGGAAUAACUAGCCGAAAGGUUAGCUAAUACCGCGUACGCUUCUUGGACUUCGGUUCAGGGAGGAAAGCGAUACCGUGGGUAUCGCGCUCUUGGAUGGGCUCAUGUCCUAUCAGCUUGNGGUGAGGUAACGGCUCACCAAGGCUUCGACGGGUAGCUGGUCUGAGAGGACGAUCAGCCACACUGGCACUGCGACACGGGCCAGACUCCUACGGGAGGCAGCAGUAAGGAAUAUUGCGCAAUGGGCGAAAAGCCUGACGCAGCGACGCCGCGUGGGGGAUGAAGGUCUUCGGAUUGUAAACCCCUUUCGGGAGGGAAGAUGGAACGAGCAAUCGUUCGGACGGUACCUCCAGAAGCAGCCACGGCUAACUUCGUGCCAGCCGCCGCCGU
rnacentral:rRNA from 1 species